AGGAUAAUAGUUAAAUUUAACAUUUAAUUUGCACUUAAAAAAUAUUGAAAUAUCAAUUUAUCUU
rnacentral:tRNA from 1 species